GUCUAUAGCCAUGCCACCCUGAGCAAGCCUGAUAUCUGAUCUCAGAAGCUAAGCAGCGUCGGGCCUGGUUAGCAGUGGGAUGGGAGACCACCGAGAAAGACAAGGUGCUAUAGGCA
rfam:Pteropus alecto contig110517, whole genome shotgun sequence.